rnacentral:rRNA from 1 species
UAGGAGUACCCGCUGAACUUAAGCAUAUCAAUAAGCGGAGGAAAAGAAACCAACCGGGAUUGCCUUAGUAACGGCGAGUGAAGCGGCAAAAGCUCAAAUUUGAAAUCUGGUACCUUUGGUGCCCGAGUUGUAAUUUGGAGAGGGCAACUUUGGGACCGUUCCUUGUCUAUGUUCCUUGGAACAGGACGUCAUAGAGGGUGAGAAUCCCGUGUGGCGAGGAGUGCGGUUCUAUGUAAAGUGCCUUCGAAGAGUCGAGUUGUUUGGGAAUGCAGCUCUAAGUGGGUGGUAAAUUCCAUCUAAAGCUAAAUAUUGGCGAGAGACCGAUAGCGAACAAGUACAGUGAUGGAAAGAUGAAAAGAACUUUGAAAAGAGAGUGAAAAAGUACGUGAAAUUGUUGAAAGGGAAGGGCAUUUGAUCAGACAUGGUGUUUUGCGCCCUCUGCUCCUUGUGGGUGGGGGAAUCUCGCAGUUCACUGGGCCAGCAUCAGUUUUGGUGGCAGGAUAAAUCCGUAGGAAUGUAACUUGCUUCGGGAAGUAUUAUAGCCUAUGGGAAUACUGCCAGCUGGGACUGAGGACUGCGACGUAAGUCAAGGAUGCUGGCAUAAUGGUUAUAUGCCGCC